rnacentral:rRNA from 1 species
UGGGGAAUUUUUCCGCAAUGGGCGAAAGCCUGACGGAGCAAUGCCGCGUGGAGGUGGAAGGCCUACGGGUCGUCAACUUCUUUUCUCGGAGAAGAAACAAUGACGGUAUCUGAGGAAUAAGCAUCGGCUAACUCUGCGCCAG